ACCACAUAUUUAUGCUACGUUGAGAGAGGAGAAGAAAAGAAAAAGAACUCAAAGGUUUUACAGUUUCGAAGCAAAUAAAGGGGAGAUGCUGUUGUGGCUGCAGAGGUGAGCUAUGGACAGCUGGUGGAAGAGAAUCAGGCCCCAUGGUAAAGAGGGAAAGGACGGAGCAGCUCUCUUGUCUGCCAGAAGAUGAACAUUGCAGUGGGCAUACCAUGGGGCCAGACCACCAGCAGAGCAUUAAACAAGGACAGAUGUGAAUGCCAGGAUAAAAAUGAAGACAUUCCUGAAGUGCUUACUGAAGCUGUUGAUGAUAGUAUUUCAGAACUUACAAGUUUUCCUGACCCAGCUUUGAGCAGUUACAGUGUCAUCAUAUUUUCCAUCUGAAAAUCUAGGCAGAAGAGCAUGUUUACAAUAGUUCCGUUAGAAAUAGCUUGAGAAAGUCUUCAGUGGGAGAAACCCAAAAAUGCAACCCAGAUCAUGGAUGGGUGCUGAAGGCACACCCCUACCCCUGCUGGGAUUCUGCAGCUUCUCAUAUUCCACCACAGUAAGACAGAUUUCUUCUCUUUAUGACAGACUGAGGUUGUGAAGAGUGCAGCACAAGGCUAUUGCUUCGUUUCUACAAGCUUCAGUCGGUUGCAAUAAAAAUGUCAAAUAGCCUAAUUUUGUGUGAUUAAGUGAAGACUGGCACUAAAACAAAUUAUUUGUUGAAGGUCUGUGAUUUCGAGUAACUAACCACUGUUAUGCACAGUGUUAACUGCAAUGUGUAUAUAACUACUUAGAAACAUUUCUGUAUUAGCAUGCAACUGCACAAGCUAAAUACCUAUUAGCUACAUUUAUGAACUUUUGACACCAUUGUAUGCCAAAUUAUUUUAAUCUUUUAAACCACCACAGCAUAGACAAACAUUGGAAUGGUUUGGCAUUUUUCUAUUACUUAAUUCUGAGAGAUUUCAGAGAUCAUCCAAGGCGUUGGUUUGAGUUUUCGGAGAUGAAUCAUGUGCAAAUGUAAGGGCAGGAAUACAGACAGUUACUCCAUGCCUGGAAAGAACAAACUUUUCCUUCUCACACCCCAACAGACUUAAAUCCAGAAGAACCUGCUAGUAAGAAAAGUCUAUGGAUGCAGUGGUCCAGACUGCAUGCCUCUGGUCUGAGGGCCCAGGGCAUUCCCUUCAGCAGGACCAGGAUUUGUCCUUAGGACUGCUGCCAGCAAAUCUGGAUGUUGUUUUAUAGCUAUAUGAUGUUUCCACCUAGACGACACUGUUCAUUGACCACCGAUGCUUUCAGAGUAUGUGUGCAUAGACGUGUGCAUGAGAAAGACUGGCAACCUAAAAACUGGCAUAAAGAAGUCAGGCAGAUGGAAAGACUGGAACUAAAUAUCAGUUAUCAUUUUUUAUUAUUGUUAGCCGAGUGUGAUGCAAGUUUGUGCAGCAGAUGCAAGAUGAAAGGAUCCUCCAGUGUUAACUAUCUCCAGAACCCCUGCAGAAGGAUCUUUGCUACUGUUGUGUUUCUGUACAAACAGUAUUCCUAACAUGGUUUGCACUGUAGUUCACAAGCUUUGCUAGCACCUUGAAACAUUAUUUGUAUGAGAAAUGCCAGACCAGGCAAUGUGGUGAUAUAAUACACUAAUAAAGCAAAUUCUGCACAAUGUUCAAUAGGAAAGAAUUUUUAUUUUAUGAAGAAUUUUUAUUUAAUGUAUUUUUCUUAAAAGCAAAGACGCUAUAUCACCCAUAAUAAAUCAUUCUUGGAGC
rnacentral:lncRNA from 7 species